rnacentral:piRNA from 1 species
UAAAUUAAAAACCUUUUCACUUUGCUAUUA